GGGGCUGCUUGGUUUUGACAGCAGGAUGACUUGAGGUGUAAGCAUGCCGAGCGUUGUACGGAAGCUCGUAAAUAUCAAUGUGCAAGCCAUAACUGGCGAAAACAAUUACGCACUCGCUGCUUAGUCGUUAGACGACCAAAGCUUUAUCGGCGGCUCAAGGAGCAGGCUGACGAGUAUCCCGCUCAUGGUUCCGCUCAAUAACUUGUGGGCAUACGGGGUAUCAUCAAUUUUGAGAUAGUCGGGCGCUUGCCUCGCGCAUCCGGCGAAACUUUAGGGGCUAAGGGCUACAUUCGGCAGCAGCUCGCCUGAUGCAGCCACGAAAACCGAAGACCUGCUAAGCAUGUAGAAAGCGCACUAAGACCUUGUUUGGACGCGGGUUCGACUCCCGCCAGCUCCACCA
rnacentral:tmRNA from 1 species